GUGCUCGCUUCAGCAGCACGUGUACUAAAAUUUUGGACCAAUACAGAGAAGAUUAGCAUGGCCCCUGUGCAAGGAAGACACACAAAUUACAGGCAGUGGUUUGAACUCAG